GCUUUUUUAGCUAGUUAGCGCUAAAUUGUAAAUUUAGAGACGGGAUUCCCAUUGAGCAUUAG
rnacentral:tRNA from 1 species